UAUAAAUGGGAAGUGAGAAAUUAGUUCCAAGCUUUUUCCCAUUUGUGAAGUAGAGAAGCAAGAAGGCAAGUAAGAAGGCAAGGAAGUCUAGAGAAGGAAGAGAAAGUCUAGCAAAAGGGUGAGUAUUAGCUUGUGGAGGUGUUGAAGCUUCAAAGUCUAAGAGGGAUUCUUGGCUUGUGAGAGUGUAAAGCUUCAAGGAAACAAGGUGGAGAAACAUCCAAGGGAAAGGGAGUUUUGCAAGGGUGAAGGUAUUGAAGCAAAGAGGAAAACUAUGUGUAAUGGUUAUGUAGUUUGUAUUUUUGUGUUGUAUUAUUUUGUUAAACUUGGAUUGUAUGUAAAUGUGGUUAAA